UAUUAAUAGAUUAAUAUAUAAUUAAUAUAUAUAAUAUUAAUUUUUUUAUAUUUCGACUUACCCCUAACAGAGUAUCAGACCUAGCUCUGCACAAAUCGAAUCGAUAUAUUACUUAUCGAGUACUAUAAAAAAAUGCGGAUAUAGUCGAAUGGUAAAAUUUCUCUUUGCCUAAGGAGAAGACGCGGGUUCGAUUCCCGCUAUCCGCCCCUACCUUUUUUAUUUUGUAUAUAUUUAAUUUAGAUAGUAAGUCUAUAAAAUUUGAUAGAGUUUACG